ACACACACACACACACACACACAGUGUGCUGCACCCCCCCCAUAAAUAAAUGUUUUAAAAUACCUUAAACAUAUGCAAGCUAAAUUGUAGUCAGAAGCAUACAAUAAAAUUCUGUUAAUGUCACUAAUAUUGAGAGGUAACUUGUAUUUCACAUGCAGGAGAUAUGUCGUGUCUUUCUAGAUGAAUGGUAAAUUAGGAUUCUUAAACAAAAUGCUGAAAUUUCUCAAGAAAUUGCAAGAUUUAGGAGGAAACGUAGUAUAUGCAACAAAAUUAUAUGCAACAUAAAGAUACCUGUCAAGUGCGAGAAAAUUAAAUGUAAGACUGACUCAGCCUCUUCACUGAGUUAAAUAUAAAGUUAAUUGCAAAGAUGCCAGCAAAGCUUUCCAUCAAAAACCAGAGGGGAAAAUCCAGGUGCCUUGCCCCCAUUAGGAACAGACAAGUCUGAUACCGCGUGAUAAUUCCUACCCUGUGGCAUAAUGCUGAUGUCUUCAAAGAACCGCUUGACUCCAUGACUGAGAUUCAAAGGCUAGAUUACAGUGAUCUCAGUGUUUAUUUUGGGUGAAGACAGGGCAACAUUCUCUGCUGCCCCAGUGUUGAUCCUAACUGGUUGAUAAAUAAAAACAUCUUGGAACACUUCUAAUGCAAAUCAUCUUGAGACGGGAGCUGACUGCUCAUUGUUUCAGUAGAGAUAGGAUAGAGACUUAGUAUAUGCUUGCAGAGAAUUUCUUUAAGUCUCACCUUACACAGCAACUGUGUCAAUAUAAUUUCUCAUCUGAACUUUACAACUAGGCUUUGUGGGUGUCUCUGAAGAAGAUUAGGUUUAGAAAUUAUAGUAUCAGAAAACAAGCUCAUUAUUAAAAUUUUGACCAGGGUAUCCAAUACUGUUGGGUUGACUUGAUCUCUGGAAAAUUCUUUUUGCCCAACAGCUUGCUGACGACUCUUUUUUUAUGGAACACCACCCGAAAGGCAUUCUUUAAGAGGCAGAGUUCAGGGAGAAUGUCACACAUAUUGGAGCUGAAUCUGUGUCUGCUGCUCACUGUGCGCCUGCUUAGGAGAAGCAUUUGGUGUGGGGCUGGGAACUAGGAAGUCCUCUGCCUUUGUGAACUCAGGAAAUGCUGUCCUUACAUCCCGGCCUCCAGACAUGUGGAGUCCAUAUGAAUCUUCUGGCCAGAUGAGCUUGUGGGGAUUUUCUAAGACGCUUCCUCGGUGAUCUUUGUUGUGACUAGUCAUCCCUCACUCUCCCAAGAUGCCCACAAGAAACAGAGCGGUUGCGGAAGCACUGGCCCACUGGAGAAGUGUGCCUUAGUCAACACGACCUGGUUGCGGGUCAGAAGUCCCAUUUUGUAGUAUUACCAAAUGAAGUUUCUGCUAUGAUUUUUCAUUUUCACAGGUGAACUGUUGGUAUCUCAUUUGUGAUUAGUGCAAUAAAAACCACUCUGGGACCAGCAGUGUGGCUUCAAGGCAUUUGCCGUGAAGCCUGAUGAUCUGCGUUCAGUCCCCCAAACCUACAUGAUGGAAUUUGACAACUGACUCCUAAAGUUUAUCCUCUGACCUCCAUACCACUGUGAAGGGUCACAGCAUUAGGAAGAUCGAGAACCACUGACUAAGAUACAGUCCUCUGGAUGUUGAACUUUUACGAUUUUAGGAGAGACAACAGUUCAAGCUCCCUGUUUUUCUCUGCUUCCCAUCGACUGCUAUGUCCACCACUCCCUUCUCUGUAAUUUCCCUCAGUCUACCUCCAAAUUUGGAAUCACAACAGUUUCCAUGUGGACAAAACCCCGAACGGGAAUCUUUCCUGCCUCGUGCUAACGGUGCCACGGCAGUCAACCACUGACACCAUCUGCCAGGCUCUUCAUCCAAGUUUCCAAACCCAGAGAGGAGUAAGAAGAAUGUUCCAUGUGGGAGUCGAUUCCCGGAAUAUGAGUGCUGGGCCAACGUGAAAUGUCGCCCGCAGCGUGCCGAGCAAGGGAGACAGACACCAAGUCUAAAGAGGACAUCCUCGGGCUGGUGCGGCGUACCUGUAACCCAGGCACUCAGAAGGCUCGGGCGCAAGUUACGAUGCUGAACCCCAGGCCAGGCGAGGCUACAGAGUCAAUUCCAGGUCAGGCUGAACUACAUAAUGAGACCUUCCCCUCCCAAUAACAAAGCAAAACAAAGGUUCCGGAGCUCAAGUUUGCCGUGCGGAUAUGUCUGUGGGGAUUUGAGACACAUGUGUACGGACAAUAACAAGAAAAGGCAUUGCGUGGUGAAUACCCAGUGGACAGUAUAGACGUUUUGAUGCAAUAAGAGUUACAAAGAGGAAGACCACACUGCACUCUGGGUGUGGAAGGGCAAGAAUUCAAAUCAGAGGGGGCCACGGGGAAGACAGGGCAGUUGAUGGCAUAGCUGAGCGACAGGAAGUGAACCAGGGCGGCGAGAUGAGGGAGGCCAUACAGGAGAGUGGCGUGCCGCACAUCGGAAUUGGCAGCUUGAGGCCAAAUUCAGAGGAAGGCCUGCUAAGAAACACCGUGGGUCACAGUUGGGCUGGUUUUAGUUUGAACCAAAGUCUCCAUGCUUUUCCGUGAUCCUCAUGUCUUUUUCUUUAGAGUGGUCCUUCCCCGCCUUGUAGGACCCCGCCCGGCGAGUCUGUGAAGACAGUCAGUCAUCCUCCCCACGGCUGAGCUCAGCCCAGGGCCCUCUACCCCAGCCGGAGCAAUCAGCCCCCAUCAGAUGCGCACACGGACAUGGAAGAACAAAGGCCCUCCUUCUUGGAACUGCUGGGCGGGAGAGCGUGUGGGUUUGGAGCAGGCAGCCCUGGCACCGACCAUCUCCUGGGGAGAGCCCACACGUAGAGUGAAGCUGAGCUGAGCGAGGCAGAGUGCGAUGUUGGAGGGACAGACAGAGUGCUGGACACACUUUGAGCUGGUGCAUCCUGCACUGGUGACCCUUCCUGGACUUGCCAUCUCUCUGGAAACCAGAAAAUUCUCUUGCUGUUUCAGCUAGCUUGGGAUUGCUUUCUGACACUUUUCAUCUAAAAGAAGCUUCAACAAUACAGGCAAUACAGGAAGCUUAGACUUCACCCCACAGAUCAAAGCUUCCCAAUGUCUUUUCCUUUGAUCACUGGUCCCACAAGUCCUUAAAAAAAAAAAAAAAGAGUUGCAUAGCAAAUGUAGUUUGAGAAUACUGCCUUCCAGAGCCUUUUUUGUAGGUCCAUUAGUGUAGUAACAUAUUAAACACCAGAAGGUUCUCCGUGCUUGGAAGCCUUCCAUUUGCUCUUCCACAUCCACUGUGUCCUGUUCCCACCCUGUCCUGUGUCCUGGGAGACCUGAUGCUCUGAAGCGCCAGACACCUGACCUUUGACCCUAGCUGGAUUUGGAUGAGCCAAGGAAGGAAGCAUCCUGGAGUCUGGUGAAGGGAGGUUGGUUUCCCAGUAUGUUCAUUUGCCUGGCACUGCCCAGCCCAAGCUAUUGUGGCCUGGUUGUGUCUCUCUCCUCUCAGGGCACAGAUGCUGCUGGGCGUCACCUUCCAGGCAGAGUCCCCUUUCACUCUCUGGCUUUGUGAGUGAGUGGGACCAGCCCAGGGCCAUUGCACCCUCCUCCGUGGUUCCCUCGAACCCUGCCUGUCAUCUACUAGCUGUUUUGAGGUUAGUCAUUUGAGUGUGUUAUGUUUCCUCCCAGGGCCUGUUUGAAAUCAUAUUAUCAAUCCCAAUUAAUUCAUUACCUCCUAAACCCAUUAAACCUGUAAUUUGUUUUGAACAGGAAAACACCUAUUGGUGUGUUAUUGAACAGAAAAGUUUUGACCACAGAGGCCUUGAAAGGGCAGUGUCUUUGUCUCAAGAGUCUAGAAGGAUAAAAGUAGUGGGACAAUUUUUUUUUCUUAGCCUGUAACAUUCUCCUACAAGCAUCCAGGGCAUCUACCGGACCGCCAUGUUAGGCCUCAGUUUUCAGUACCUCUGUGUGGGAGGCCCUCUUCCUGCUCUUUUCCUACCCAAAGCACAUUCUUUUAAAAAUGGUCCAGUGUGUACCACCCUUCACCCGUCAACAUUCCCCAAAGCUCUGCAUUCACCCUGACCCGUCCAUUCACACAGCCACUGCCGUUCCCCCUCAUCCCUAUGGAUAAAGCGCAGGCUUUAAACCCUUGCAUGGGUAAGUCAAUUUUCUUAUUCUAUAUGCCUCUCAUAUCUCACAACUUCUGUCAAGCACAUGCUGCUCUACACAGAGGCAAUACCUCCUUUUCCCCCAUUGAUUUGUAAAUUAAGCUGUACCCUUACACAUACACACACACAUACACACACACACAAGCAUGCACACAUGCAGUACACACCCAUGCAUGCACAUGCACAAUGCAGCAUGCACCCAUGCAUGUACAUGCACCCAUGCACUUAUUAUGUUGUCCAGACUUGUCUUCAACUCUUGGGUUCCUCACACUUCAGCCUCCUGGGACUACAGUCUCUCAAUAUAGGACUUAGCUGCCAUUCUUUCAUAUGAAGUUCAAAUCUUGUCAUUGUAGAAGUCAUUUCCUGAUCAUCCCAGAUAAGUCUGAUUUCUCAGGUUUCUGAGGGACCAGCACUAAUAACCCACUGAAGCAACAUUCAUGUAUUCUGAAAUCAUGGUACUAUCUGGGACUACUGUCCAUGUCCUAGGACUAGUCACCCUGCGUACUUCUGUCACAGAGCCUUAACAGACUUACAGGCCUUGUUGAGGACUGAAUUAUAUCCUAGUCCUCAGUCCCCCAGAAUGUGACCUUGUAUGGAAAUGAGAUCAUUGCAGAUGGUAUUAGUUCAGAUGAGUUCAUCCUGGAGUAAGGUAGACUCCUCAUCCAAUAAAACCAAAAUCUUAAAAAGUAGACCUUGGCUCACAAAUACCGAGAAUACCAUGUGCAGAUGGGAGUCUUGCUGCCACAAACCAAUGAGCACCAAAAACAGUUAGCAAAGCACCUGAAGCUACAUGACAGGUAUGAAGCAGAGGCUCUCUCAUGGCCUCAGAAGGAACCAGCCCUGCCGACACCCUAACCCAGCGUCCCGGAACUGUCAGGCAGUGCAUUGCUGUGGCCCAAGCCACCUAGCUUGCUCUUUGUUCCGGGGCUUCCAUCCAACCAUUACAAACAACACAAGGAGAAGGCCACACCGAGGAGGAGGUUGUCCAGCUAAGACCUACCACCUGAGUCUUAGGCCAUUUCUGGCUAAUUAAUUCCCUUCUCAGAGCCUCGAUGUUCUCUGUAACGUGCAGAUAAAAUCUACCUUGGAAAGUUGCUGUAGGGAUUAAAGAAGAUAACAUUAAGCUAUUAGGCACAGUGCCCGACACAGUUAACAUGUUUAAUAAAUGCUAGGUCUUGUCUUUGUAAUCCUCUUGUGCAAACGAGGUCGGACUAGACAUGUAAAGUGCCUGUCUGAGUGACUACGAUGAAGUGGCAACAGAUUGAAAAUUAAACAAAAGCCAGGGGGCCUGCCUCCCACCCACAGGCCUCAGUUCCUAUACUUCCCACGUCUUACCGGGCAUCGUGAAAGAGAACAGUGAACACAGGGGCAUUGACUGAGCGGCAUCUGAUGUGUGCCACUUAACUUACUUAGCGGCAGCUGGGGAACUGAACUUAAGGAGUAGGGCCUUUGUGGAUCCCCUCCCAUCCACAGGUAGCUGAGAUGAAUUGUAUCUUAAAGCAAACUA